ACGGAAGGCAGCAGUAGGGAAUAUUGCACAAUGGGGGAAACCCUGAUGCAGCAACGCCACGUGUGGGAAGAAGCAUUUCGGUGUGUAAACCACUGUCGUGAGGGAAUAAUGGUUAAUUUCGGUUAAGUUGAAUGUACCUCGAAAGGAAGCACCGGCAAACUUCGUGCCAGCAGCCGCGGUAAUACGAGGGGUGCAAGCGCUGUUCGGAAUCACUGGGCGUAAAGGGAGCGCAGGCGGAGAUGCAAGCAGUCUGUACAAUACCGGGGCCCAACCCCAGACCUGCAGAUUUCACUGUUCCUCUUGGAUAGUUCAGGGGCAAGCGGAAUUCCUGGUGUAGCGGUGGAAUGCGUAGAAAUCAGGAGGAACACCGAUGGCGAAGGCAGCUUGCUGGGGACUUAUCGACGCUCAUGCUCGAAAGUGCGGGUAGCAAACAGGAUUAGAUACCCUGGUA
rnacentral:rRNA from 1 species